GAAGCCUCUUGGGGCUUAUUUAGACAAUGGUUUCAUCAUUUCGUCUGAAUAGAGUCUGAAGAGUCUUU
ensembl:miRNA MIR4427 microRNA 4427